rnacentral:rRNA from 1 species
UACGUAGGGGGCAAGCGUUGUCCGGAUUUAUUGGGCGUAAAGAGCGUGUAGGCGGCCUGAAAGGUCAGCUGUGAAAACUCGAGGCUCAACCUCGAGACGUCGGUUGAAACCAUCUGGCUAGAGUCCGGAAGAGGAGAGUGGAAUUCCCGGUGUAGCGGUGAAAUGCGCAGAUAUCGGAAGGAACACCUGUGGCGAAAGCGGCUCACUGGACCAUUACUGACGCUGAGGCACGAAAGCUAGGGGAGCAAACAGG